UACGUAGGGUGCAAGCGUUGUCCGGAAUUACUGGGCGUAAAGGGCGCGCAGGCGGCUAUUUUUGUCAGGCGUGAAAGCCCCGGGCUUAACCUGGGAACUGCGCUUGAGACGGGAUGGCUAGAGAUCGGGAGAGGAGAGUGGAAUUCCUGGUGGUAGCGGUGAAAUGCGCAGAUAUCAGGAGGAAUACCGAUGGCGAAGGCAGGUCCCUGGGCUGACACUGACGCUCGAUGACACGAAAGCGUGGGGAGCAAACAGG
rnacentral:rRNA from 1 species